UUGAUAAGAUAAAAUACAAAGAGACCAAAGAGGGAAUGCGGUUAAAAUCCGCAACAGCUCACUCUACUGUAAAAGGGCAACGAAAAUUCAAAAACAGUCACUGCCAAAAGCGGGAAGACCGGAUUAGUAGGCAUUUGGCCCCAAAGUCAGGAUAUCUUUUUGGUUAAAAAUAAAAAGC
rnacentral:ncRNA from 1 species